UGUUCUGUGGCUUAGUUGGUUAGCGCGUCGGAUUAGCGAUGCGGGGUCUUGGGUUCGAUUCCCACCAAAACAG
rnacentral:tRNA from 1 species